CUCUAGGACCUUCCUGAAAGACCCCCGGAGUGGGGAGACCCUCACUCAAGUCUCGGGAUGACGUGAUCCCCCAAGAACUCACACAAGACA
rnacentral:pre_miRNA from 14 species